AAGAGGAGGAGGAGAAGUCAUAGACAUGCGGACAGUUCUGCUGAAUCAAGUGAUGAAUCGCCUCCAAGGCACAAGCGUAGGAGCAGGAGAGCAGCAGCCUCAGCAUCUGAUUCUGACGCCAGCAACUCUGAUGAUGCACGAGUAGGCAGGGACAAAAAACGUUCUGAGAAGAGGAGCAGGAAACGUCAUGAUGAUGAAGAGUAGUAAUGUACCCCUGAAAGGAGAUUUAUCAUCUACUAUCUGGAUUGCAGGUCCAUUUCUUUCUAUGGAACUUGCUUAUCUAGGAACUGUGUGUAUUUUUCAUUGUCUAUUCAUCUUUUGCCUCAACAAAUACUCGUCUGCUUGUAAUUUUCCCUUCAUGGUCCUGAGUAUUGUUCAACUGAUGUUGCAGUACUGCAUCAGUUAUUCAGGAUAUUGCUAUCCUUGUUGAACUUGCAUCAUGUUAUCCUUUUGAAGGUUUUGUGGGAUUAUUAGUUACAAUCCGCAACUUGUGCAACUUCAUAGGGUGGUAAUAGUUGAAGUGAUAUAU
rnacentral:misc_RNA from 1 species